rnacentral:rRNA from 1 species
UACGUAGGGGGCCAGCGUUGUCCGAAGUUACUGGGCGUAAAGAGCGCGUAGGCGGCCCUUAAGUGGGGGGUGAAAGGUUGGGGCUCAACCCCAACACUGACCUUUCGAUACUGGGGGCCUUGAGUGCGGGAGAGGCGAGUGGAAUGGUCGGUGUAGCGGUGAAAUGCGUAGAUAUCGAUCGGAACACCCAUGGCGAAGGCAGCUCGCUGGCCUGCAACUGACGCUGAGGCGCGAAAGCGUGGGGAGCAAACAGG